rnacentral:rRNA from 1 species
AUACGUAGGGGGCGAGCGUUGUCCGGAAUGAUUGGGCGUAAAGAGCGCGUAGGCGGCCCGGUAAGUCUGGAGUGAAAGUCCUGUUUUUAAGAUGGGAAUUGCUUUGGAUACUGUCGGGCUUGAGUGCAGGAGAGGUAAGUGGAAUUCCCAGUGUAGCGGUGAAAUGCGUAGAGAUUGGGAGGAACACCAGUGGCGAAGGCGACUUACUGGACUGUAACUGACGCUGAGGCGCGAAAGUGUGGGGAGCAAACAGGAUUAGAUACCCUGGUAGUCCACACUGUAAACGAUGAAUGCUAGGUGUAGGGGGUAUCGACCCCUUCUGUGCCGCAGUCAACACAAUAAGCAUUCCGCCUGGGGAGUACGGCCGCAAGGUUGAAACUCAAAUGAAUUGACGGGG